GCCGUUACCACUUGAACCACUCCCGCUCUAAGAGAGGAGAUGAGACCGAAAGCGGAAGGCCCCGGGAGGGCGAGGGUUCCGCGGAUCUGUCAGGUUCUGUGAAGCUCGGGCUGUCACCUGAAAAAGAGAACUGUGCUUUUGUCUCUUCUGACAUCACCACUCCCAAGACAAAGAGCUAUCACUUUGGGAAUGUUGAAAAGAAACAGUGAAAAUAGAAUGUCCCAGCUGGAAGGAAACUGGUUCACUUGAAAGCUGCCCUUCUCUACCUACUCUAGCUUCUCAAGGCCACUGUGCCACUGUGGAUGGAAGAAGAACUGCUUCUCACUUUCCCAGCUUCCCAUAUCUUGUCAUUGGACUGACCCUCUGAGGAUCCCUGGCCCAAGGGUUUCUUGGUUCUGGACUGUCACCAGGGUCACAGAACAAGGACUAGGAAUAGGUACUGGAGUAGGCAUGAGGUGAAGAUGCCCAGAUAGCAGCAUGAUCAUGAAGUGGUGAGCAUAAAGCAGACAUGGAGACUGGAAGAAACCAGCAUCUCUCAUUUCUCCUUAUCAAAUGUCAAUAUCACAUCUGUUUUAUGUGUGUCAUUAUCCAUCUUGAGUUUUCAUAUAAUUGAAAUGGGUUGCCCAAUGUAAUUAAAUUUUUUUUCAUUUACACA